rnacentral:rRNA from 1 species
GAUGAACGCUGGCGGCGUGCCUAAUACAUGCAAGUCGAGCGAACAGACGAGGAGCUUGCUCCUCUGACGUUAGCGGCGGACGGGUGAGUAACACGUGGAUAACCUACCUAUAAGACUGGGAUAACUUCGGGAAACCGGAGCUAAUACCGGAUAAUAUAUUGAACCGCAUGGUUCAAUAGUGAAAGACGGUUUUGCUGUCACUUAUAGAUGGAUCCGCGCCGCAUUAGCUAGUUGGUAAGGUAACGGCUUACCAAGGCGACGAUGCGUAGCCGACCUGAGAGGGUGAUCGGCCACACUGGAACUGAGACACGGUCCAGACUCCUACGGGAGGCAGCAGUAGGGAAUCUUCCGCAAUGGGCGAAAGCCUGACGGAGCAACACCGCGUGAGUGAUGAAGGUCUUCGGAUCGUAAAACUCUGUUAUUAGGGAAGAACAAAUGUGUAAGUAACUAUGCACGUCUUGACGGUACCUAAUCAGAAAGCCACGGCUAACUACGUG